GGUGUGCUGAAAGAAUGCGAAGGAAGGGAAACAAGUUAGGCGACACUUUACAAAACUUGCAACAGCGAAUGGUUCACUUGAAAGGAUCCCAUAAACCCGGGUCGGAAAUCGUUUAUCACAACUUUCUCCCGACAGGAGGCACUAUCAAUAGACGACCGAGUGGCGGUGACGUUCAAUGGCAAUGUGAUACCGUGACAAACCGGGGUAGGGAACCCGCGGUACCCGGUACCAGUGUCAACAGCACACAAUCCGAACGAUUCGUUGAAUUUCUAGUUCGGCCACAUAAUCAAUUGGCCAGCCAACAGAGCCGUACAGACUAUCGUAGAGGGGAAGAGCGAUUUGCGUUGGGCUUACGGCCCGUGUAACCGUGUGCGCUCACACAACCCCUCAAGUGAUUUAUUUGUAGUUUAGCUUUGAAAACUAUCCACCAAAAACCCCGGAGAAAAAGAGCAGCAAGGGUGAAACUGUUUCGAAAAAUCCGAUACCUAUGACAUCAACAUCAAGGAGGCUUGGAGGCUAGCUCAGCAGGAAUUCAUGUAGGGAGCGGUACGGUGGGAAGGAUACGAUUCAUCCAGAUGUCCUUCUGCAAAUGGAUGUCGCGUCGGGUUUUGGGUGGUUCAGUUCAGAAUUGAGUGCAAGAUUUGAUGUCCGCUCUUGCCGACCUUCCAUGAAAGCAGGGUAGGCUUCUGGGAACCGAAAUUGACCUCGGGAUCAUUACCGACUUCUACCUGAAUGCCCUGUUCAAUAUCGACUCAGUAUCGCGAUUCGACUUCCUGUGAAGCUAGUAGCAUUAUGCUGUUUGAUGCUGUUCGUAUGAAGUUGCCUAAAUUCCUGUAAGCCUCUAUUCCGGCCGGCACAGAACGUACAAAUGCUUGGCACUUACCCUGGAUGCGUCCCGAAACUUGUGGCUCAUGAUGUUGUACAGCAGCGGGUUAAUGCAGGUGGACAGGAAGUACAGUAUGCCGGAAAUGUAGUUUAGCACCAUGUACACCUUGUAGAAGAACACACUCUCCGUCUUGGUAAACACCCCGUACACGGCCAUUAGACGCUGCGCGUGGAACGGUGCCCAGCAGAUGAAAAACGUGGCCACGACUGCCACUGUACUCCCGCACGUGAGGAGUAUCCGUAUAAGCAGACGAAAGAUAGAGAGUGGAGAAAAUUAAUGGUUAGGUUAACAAAAAAUGUUCAUGAGAAUGUCUUGUCCGAUUAGCGUAUUAACGGUAGACCGUAUUAACGUAUGUAGACGGUAGACCCCAUGUCUCCCACGUGUUUUACCUAACAUGCGUAUCACCCUGCUCUGGCCACUGACAGUUCGGGGCGGUGUGGUGUAAUCGGAUGAGGCCCGUUUGGCGCCCUGCAGCAGUUUGCUCUUCCGGAGCUUUAUUCCUAUUAGCACGUACAGCACCGCUAUAACCGUCAUCGGGCCGACGAAGAACAAGAAGCUGGACACCUCGAACGCGUGCACAAAGUGUUCAUCUUUGAUCUGGAAAAUGAUGAUGAUGAAGAACUGCUAAUCACCAAAGGACUGAGCCGGCUGCCGUCGGAUUCCACGAUGCCGAACUGGAGUGCCUGCGGAGUGGCCAACCCGAACGCUACCAGCCAGAUGACGAUCACAAACUUUAUCGCUCUCGACAGCUUCGACAUGGUGUGGGACCUGGCGGGAAG